GUUGUUCAGCAGGGCAGCCUGAGAGGCCCUCAAUGGGCCCAUCCUCCAGACGUGCAUGGAAAUCUGCCAUGCCAUGUUGGCAGUCCUAAUAUAACACCCUGCAUCAACAAGGCAGGAGAGGAAGCCCUUUGCAGAGCCACGGGUCUGCACGGUGCAUGUCCUGUAGAGUGAAGUCUUCUGCUCAUGCUGGCAAACCCACUUUGAAGUGUCACAAGGCUUAUUCGUGCAAGAUGAUGCCUCUGCAGGAAGGCAGCAGCUGUGAUAAGUGGAGGUGUGUGUGCUACUUCCACUGGCGGGGAAAGGUAGGGAAUAACCUGUCACCUUUUUUUCAGAUUCAUCCAGAGGUUCUGCGUAUCAUGAAAGAAUCCAGUUAUGGGCAAAAAAUACUAUUAUAAAAAGCAAUGUCACAGACCUUCUGAGGUUCAUCAGAAACCUGGAUGAACACCCCGAUGAAAGGAUCAGUGAAAUAACAGGGGACUAUGCUAAGUAUUUCCUGACGAAAUUUCCAGCACUGACCAUUUAUGUCUACAACCGUUUGCGCCAGCAGUCCCGAAUACAGCCACUUUGUAGACAUUCAGGAUCCUCCUCUGUAGGAGGCUGUUGCCUCACGUCCCAUGGCUGAUCCCCACUUGCUCUGCCUCCUUUUGUUCCCUAUUUCUUCAGCUGAAAAAAAGAGUUGAAGAAAUUGGGUAAAGAGACAGGAGAGAGCACAUGCAGAGAGCAAGGAGAUGUGGGACAGGCCCCAUAUUCCCAAUCCAUGCAAGAGGCAGAAGAGCUCAGGUAUUGCCAACCAGGGACUCUGAAGGAGUUUCCCUAGCAGGGAGCUCUACAGAUAGCACUUAUGAGCCACACGGGUACCACUAUCGAGACUUGAAUUCCCUCCUUCCACUCCUUGAACGCAGCAGCCAGAAGCAGAGAUGCUGUUGGUGCCCGGCCCUGCCGUUCAUACACAGCAGCCCAGAGCUCUGCUACUGGGGCUGAGCAGCACAAACCCAUUUCUGGAGCCCGGUGGCAUCCUGCUGGCCCAAGGGACUUGUUUGUUUCUCUGCCAGCAGUUCCCGCGGGGCUGCACAAUGAUCAUAUAUUGCUUAUGGAAAUGUUUUCCAGCUGUUGAAAUGAUUUUUUUUUAACUGAUUAUUGUUCUUUGUGUUAGCCUAUGAAGAACCAAACGGAGAAUAAAUUUGGAAAAAUGUUUUCUACAUAUUUAUGAAUGAGGUCCCCAUCUCUACCUGAGAGAGAGCUCUGCUGGGUGCUGAAGGCUUCCUCUCCCUGGAAGCAUACGGUCUCUUGUGAAAUGGGCUGGAUAGUGGAUUUUUAAUUUAUUUAUUUAAUUUUUGCUUUGUUUUACUCCUGUGGAGCGAGGGUGAGGAUCUCAUGGAUGAGCAGAUGUGCAAAGCUGAGCAUCAGCGCCUACGUGUGUGCCGAACUCAGGGUGGAUGUGUUUGCUCCAUCUCAUUGACAAGCGAGUGGCUGUCAGGAUGCAUUGUGGAGCUCUGCAUCCCUUUAGCUGUGCGUGCUUGUAUUUUUAUGCAGCUGCAAACCAGCAGGCAGGGCUGUGCCAUGGGCUGGGCUCCUUGAGAGCAUUAUAAAAAUUCCACAUUGUCAGCCUGCUGCAACCUUUGUGCCCU
rnacentral:lncRNA from 1 species